AGCGUCUCCUCUGAGUAAGGACUAGCGAAAUAAGUCAAAACUUUCAACAACGGAUCUCUUGGUUCUGGCAUCGAUGAAGUACGCAGCGAAAUGCGAUAAGUAAUGUGAAUUGCAGAAUUCAGUGAAUCAUCGCAUCUUAGAACGCACAUUGCGCCCGCCAGUAUUCUGGCGGGCAUGCCUGUUCGAGCGUCAUUUCAACCCCUCAAGCCCGGCUUGGUGUUGGGGCCCCUACCUGCGCCGUAGGCCCCGAAUUCCAGUGGCGGGCUGGCCGCGAUCCCGAGCGUAGUAGUACUACCCCGCUCAGGGCGUCGCGGCGGGCGCCGGCCGUGAAAAAGAAACCCGUACCUCACGCAAGGUUGACCUCGGAUCAGGUAGGAAUACCCGCUGAACUUAAGCAUAUCAAUAAGCGGAGGAAAAGAAACCAACAGGGAUUGCCCCAGUAACGGCGAGUGAAGCGGCAACAGCUCAAAUUUGAAAUCUGGCCUCGGCCCGAGUUGUAAUUUGCAGAGGAUGCUUUCGGCGCGGCGCCUCCCGAGUCCCCUGGAACGGGGCGCCACAGAGGGUGAGAGCCCCGUAUGGUAGGACGCCUAGCCUGUGUAAAGCUCCUUCGACGAGUCGAGUAGUUUGGGAAUGCUGCUCAAAAUGGGAGGUAAAUUCCUUCUAAAGCUAAAUACCGGCCAGAGACCGAUAGCGCACAAGUAGAGUGAUCGAAAGAUGAAAAGCACUUUGAAAAGAGGGUCAAACAGCACGUGAAAUUGUUGAAAGGGAAGCGCUCGUGACCAGACUUGCGCCGGGCCGAUCAUCCGGUGUUCUCACCGGUGCACUCGGCCCGGCUCAGGCCAGCAUCGGUUUUCGCGGGGGGACAAAAGCCCGGGGAACGUGGCUCCCCCGGGAGUGUUAUAGCCCCGGGCACAAUACCCUCGCGGGGACCGAGGACCGCGCUCUGCAAGGAUGCUGGCGUAAUGGUCACCAGCGACCCGUCUUGAAACACGGACCAAGGAGUCAAGGUUUUGCGCGAGUGUUUGGGUGUGAAACCCGCACGCGUAAUGAAAGUGAACGCAGGUGAGAGCUUCGGCGCAUCAUCGACCGAUCCUGAUGUCCUCGGAUGGAUUUGAGUAAGAGCGUAAUGCCUUGGACCCGAAAGAUGGUGAACUAUGCCUGGAUAGGGUGAAGCCAGAGGAAACUCUGGUGGAGGCUCGCAGCGGUUCUGACGUGCAAAUCGAUCGUCAAAUCAGGGCAUGGGGGCGAAAGACUAAUCGAACCAUCUAGUAGCUGGUUACCGCCGAAGUUUCCCUCAGGAUAGCAGUGUUGAUCUUCAGUUUUAUGAGGUAAAGCGAAUGAUUAGGGACUCGGGGGCGCUAUAUUGCCUUCAUCCAUUCUCAAACUUUAAAUAUGUAAGAAGCCCUUGUUGCUUAGCUGAACGUGGGCAUUCGAAUGCACCAACACUAGUGGGCCAUUUUUGGUAAGCAGAACUGGCG
rnacentral:rRNA from 1 species